GCCUAACACAUGCAAGUCGAACGGUAACAGGAAGCAGCUUGCUGCUUCGCUGACGAGUGGCGGACGGGUGAGUAAUGUCUGGGAAACUGCCUGAUGGAGGGGGAUAACUACUGGAAACGGUGGCUAAUACCGCAUAACGUCGCAAGACCAAAGAGGGGGACCUUCGGGCCUCUUGCCAUCAGAUGUGCCCAGAUGGGAUUAGCUUGUUGGUGAGGUAACGGCUCACCAAGGCGACGAUCCCUAGCUGGUCUGAGAGGAUGACCAGCCACACUGGAACUGAGACACGGUCCAGACUCCUACGGGAGGCAGCAGUGGGGAAUAUUGCACAAUGGGCGCAAGCCUGAUGCAGCCAUGCCGCGUGUAUGAAGAAGGCCUUCGGGUUGUAAAGUACUUUCAGCGGGGAGGAAGGUGUUGUGGUUAAUAACCGCAGCAAUUGACGUUACCCGCAGAAGAAGCACCGGCUAACUCCGUGCCAGCAGCCGCGGUAAUACGGAGGGUGCAAGCGUUAAUCGGAAUUACUGGGCGUAAAGCGCACGCAGGCGGUCUGUCAAGUCGGAUGUGAAAUCCCCGGGCUCAACCUGGGAACUGCAUUCGAAACUGGCAGGCUUGAGUCUUGUAGAGGGGGGUAGAAUUCCAGGUGUAGCGGUGAAAUGCGUAGAGAUCUGGAGGAAUACCGGUGGCGAAGGCGGCCCCCUGGACAAAGACUGACGCUCAGGU
rnacentral:rRNA from 1 species